AACGAACGCUGGCGGCAGGCUUAACACAUGCAAGUCGAACGCAUCCUUCGGGGUGAGUGGCAGACGGGUGAGUAACGCGUGGGAACGUGCCCUUCAGUUCGGGAUAACCCAGGGAAACUUGGGCUAAUACCGGAUACGAGCGAGAGCAGAAAGAUUUAUCGCUGAAGGAUCGGCCCGCGUCUGAUUAGCUAGUUGGUGGGGUAAUGGCCCACCAAGGCGACGAUCAGUAGCUGGUCUGAGAGGAUGAUCAGCCAUAUUGGGACUGAGACACGGCCUAAACUCCUACGGGAGGCAGCAGUGGGGAAUAUUGGACAAUGGGCGCAAGCCUGAUCCAGCCAUGCCGCGUGAGUGAUGAAGGCCUUAGGGUUGUAAAGCUCUUUCGUCCGGGACGAUAAUGACGGUACCGGAAGAAGAAGCCCCGGCUAACUUCGUGCCAGCCGCCGCAGUAA
rnacentral:rRNA from 1 species